GCGUUAAUCGGAUUUACUGGGCGUAAAGCGUGCGUAGGUGGCCAAUUAAGUCAAAUGUGAAAUCCCCGAGCUUAACUUGGGAAUUGCAUUCGAUACUGGUUGGCUAGAGUAUGGGAGAGGAUGGUAGAAUUCCAGGUGUAGCGGUGAAAUGCGUAGAGAUCUGGAGGAAUACCGAUGGCGAAGGCAGCCAUCUGGCCUAAUACUGACACUGAGGUACGAAAGCAUG
rnacentral:rRNA from 1 species